CUACGGGAGGCAGCAGUGGGGAAUAUUGGACAAUGGGCGCAAGCCUGACCGAGCAACGCCGCGUGGAGGAUGACGGCCUUCGGGUUGUAAACUCCUUUUCCAGGGGAUGACAUCGACCGUACCCCGCGAAUCAGGCUCGGCUAACUCUGUGCCAGCAGCCGCGGUAAGACAGAGGAGCCAAGCGUUGUCCGGAUUGACUGGGCGUAAAGCGCACGCAGGCGGUCGUGCACGUGGGGUGUGAAACCUGGCGGCUUAACCGCCAGACGCCACCGCAUACGGCGCGACUUGAGACUGGCAGAGGUUCGUGGAAUUGCCGGUGUAGUGGUGAAAUGCGUAGAGAUCGGCAGGAACACCAAGGGGGAAACCAGCGAACUGGGCCAUAUCUGACGCUCAGGUGCGAAAGCGUGGGGAGCGAACCGGAUUAGAAACCCUAGUAGUCC
rnacentral:rRNA from 1 species